rnacentral:rRNA from 1 species
CGGCGAGUGAAGCGGCAUAAGCUCAAAUUUGAAAUCUGGCUCUUUCAGGGUCCGAGUUGUAAUUUGUAGAAGAUGUUUCGGGUGUGGUGCCGGUCUAAGUUCCUUGGAACAGGACGUCAUAGAGGGUGAGAAUCCCGUACGUGACUGGCUACCUACGCCCAUGUGAAACUCUUUCGACGAGUCGAGUUGUUUGGGAAUGCAGCUCAAAAUGGGUGGUAUAUUUCAUCUAAAGCUAAAUAUUGGCCAGAGACCGAUAGCGCACAAGUAGAGUGAUCGAAAGAUGAAAAGCACUUUGGAAAGAGAGUUAAACAGUACGUGAAAUUGUUGAAAGGGAAGCGCUUGCAAUCAGACUUGCGCCUAGUUGAUCAUCCAAGCUUCUGCUUGGUGCACUCGAUUAGGCUCAGGCCAGCAUCGGUUUGGGUGGUUGGAUAAAGGCUUGGGGAAUGUAGCCUCCUUCGGGUGGUGUUAUAGCCCCAGGUGCAAUGCAGCCUACCUGGACCGAGGACCGCGCUUCGGCUAGGAUGCUGGCGUAAUGGUUGUAAGCGACCCGUCUUGAAACACGGACCAAGGAGUCGACCUAUUUAGCGAGUGUUUGGGUGUUAAACCCAUACGCGUAAUGAAAGUGAACGGAGGUGAGAGCCCAUUAGGGCGCAUCAUCGACCGAUCCUGAUGUCUUCGGAUGGAUUUGAGUAAGAGCUAAGUGGGUCGGACCCGAAAGAUGGUGAUCUAUACGUGAAUAGGGUGAAGCCAGAGGAAACUCUGGUGGAGGCUCGCAGCGGUUCUGACGUGCAAAUCGAUCGUCAAAUUUGCGUAUAGGGGCGAAAGACUAAUCGAACCAU